rnacentral:misc_RNA from 1 species
AACGCACAUUGCGCCCACUGGUAUUCCGGUGGGCAUGCCUGUCUGAGCGUCAGUAUAAUCUCAAGCAACCGCUUGGUAUUGGAGGAUGAUCUGCCUAGCAGUUCACUUCUUAAACUGAUUGGCAAGUUUACAUAGCAGCAAGCGUAGUAGAAAUACCAUCAGCUUAGUUACUCUGUAUAGCUUUGUCAAAAUCAAACUAUUCUAAGGUUUGACCUCAGAUCAGGUAAGGAUACCCCCUGAACUUAA